rnacentral:rRNA from 1 species
GAUGAACGCUGGCGGCGUGCCUAAUACAUGCAAGUCGAGCGAACGGACGAGAAGCUUGCUUCUCUGAUGUUAGCGGCGGACGGGUGAGUAACACGUGGAUAACCUACCUAUAAGACUGGGAUAACUUCGGGAAACCGGAGCUAAUACCGGAUAAUAUUUUGAACCGCAUGGUUCAAAAGUGAAAGACGGUCUUGCUGUCACUUAUAGAUGGAUCCGCGCUGCAUUAGCUAGUUGGUAAGGUAACGGCUUACCAAGGCAACGAUGCAUAGCCGACCUGAGAGGGUGAUCAGCCACUCGUGAACUGAGACACGGUCCAGACUCCUACGGGAGGCAGCAGUAGGGAAUCUUCCGCAAUGGGCGAAAGCCUGACGGAGCAACGCCGCGUGAGUUAUUAAGGUCUUCGGAUCGUAAAACUCUGUUAUUAGGGAAGAACAUAUGUGUAAGUAACUGUGCACAUCUUGACGGUACCUAAUCAGAAAGCCACGACUAACUACGUG